CAUUCUUGGAGAGUUUGAUCCUGGCUCAGGACGAACGCUGGCGGCGUGCCUAAUACAUGCAAGUCGAGCGGGGAGCUUCGGCUCCUAGCGGCGAACGGGU
rnacentral:rRNA from 1 species